GGUGCCGUGGCCGAGUGGCUAGGCGGAGGCCUGCAAAGCCUCUUACGGAGGUUCGAUUCCUCCCGGCACCUCUA
rnacentral:tRNA from 1 species